UACAGAGGUCUCAAGCGUUGUUCGGAUUCAUUGGGCGUAAAGGGUGCGUAGGCGGCGCGGUAAGUCGGGUGUGAAAUCUCGGAGCUUAACUCCGAAACUGCAUUCGAUACUGCCGUGCUUGAGGACUGGAGAGGAGACUGGAAUUUACGGUGUAGCGGUGAAAUGCGUAGAUAUCGGGAGGAACACCUGUGGCGAAGGCGGCCACCUGGUUGGAUACUGACGCUGAGACGCGAAAGCGUGGGGAGCAAACAGG
rnacentral:rRNA from 1 species